rnacentral:sRNA from 2 species
CGCAACUGGUUGUUCUAUAUGAGGAUUUACCGUCCGGAGGCGUUUCAUAACUUGAGGACUAAAAUUUGAUGGGCCGAGCGAUGAAGCCGCAGCCUCUAGGCGGUUGACAAAGUGGCGACCACUUAUCGCAGAACAAGGAGAGAAGGAGAAGAGAAAACAAAGCAUCUCGAUUUUUGCCCAUCUGAAGCCCAGUCGCAUAUAUACUACCGAGUAAUGUCCGGCAUAUCAUUUCGACUAGGUUAUGAACAGUUCGAUGGGGUUGGAGUACAGAUUAAAAAGAACAAAUUAUAUAUAUCAAGCAAUGUAUAAUACACGAA